UCUCCGUAGGUGAACCUGCGGAGGGAUCAUUACAGAGUUCAUGCCCUACCGGGUAGAUCUCCCACCCUAUGUUAUUAUUACCUUGUUGCUUUGGCGGGCCGUUAGGCUCCGGCCCGACUACCGGCCCCGGCUGGUAAGCGCCCGCCAGAGGACCCAAAACCGUGAAUAUUAGUGUCGUCUGAGUACUAUAUAAUAGUUAAAACUUUCAAUAACGGAUCUCUUGGUUCUG
rnacentral:misc_RNA from 1 species